ensembl:lncRNA
AUGGGAAUUGUUGCCUCCGGCCUAAGCCUGGGGAUGCUGGGUCCACAGACCCAGAUGUUUUUUUGGGGGGGAGCACAGGCUGCCUCGGCCACACCAGCCACGGGAAGAGGAAGGAGGGCGCGGCGAGUUCCAGUGGGAGGCGGGGCGCGGGAGGGCCGGGCAGGUACAGGAAAGCGCCGCUUUUGGCAGACGCCCCUCGCCUUUUACGGCCACAACGGCGGCGGGGCGGGGCGGGGCGCAGCUGCUCGACCCCCGGCAGGCAGGCAGGCGAAGGUGCUGAGCGAGCGACGGCCGGAGGAAGAAGCAGCCUGCCCGCCUUCGUUGCCGUUUCCAGGCUGGGAUGCUCUCGGACAAGACGGAGAAGAAGCGAAUGGUCUCCUCCAUCUUCAUUGUCCUUGCGCCGCCCCGGAGGGGCUGCGCUGGUCCUGCGAAGGCCCCACUGUUCCUUCCCACCGAGAAGCCGGUCCCUCACCAAGAAGGGAGCGGGCCCAGCAGCGCUCAGGUGCAGGUGAGGCCCCUGCUGUCCUUUGGAUGGGCUCCCUUGCCCAGAGGUGGGGCAGAAGUGGGAGAACCUCAGCCCUGCUCUUUCUCUGGCUGGCUCCAAACCCAGACCCCCCGCUAAGCUCCUUCCCUCCCGCAGGCCCCUCUGCCCUGCAGCCGCCUCCUGGUGACCCUCCUCAGCCCCAGGAGGCUGUCCUGGGGUCCCUGCAGCCCACGGCCCUCCAGGUGGAGACCCUGGGCCCCGAUCUGCAGACGGGAGCAGCUGCCUUGCCUUCCUCCCUGCAGGAGCCUGAAGUGGAAGGCCUCAUCCGGCCUGGCCUCUCGGCUGGACAGAUGGACAGGAGGAGGAGGAGGAGGAGGCUGCAGAGCCAGGUGGGGCUGAGAGUUCUGGGCUCGGUGUUCCAGGGAGGUGGCUUGACCUUAGCUGACCACCCUGCCCGCCUCCUUCCCUAG